GCCCGGGUGGCGGAACUGGCAGACGCACGGGACUUAAAAUCCCGUGGCUGAACAAGCCGUGGGGGUUCGAUCCCCCCCCCGGGCACCA
rnacentral:tRNA from 1 species